GACGAACGCUGGCGGCGUGCCUAAUACAUGCAAGUAGAACGCACAGUUUAUACCGUAGCUUGCUACACCAUAGACUGUGAGUUGCGAACGGGUGAGUAACGCGUAGGUAACCUGCCUGGUAGCGGGGGAUAACUAUUGGAAACGAUAGCUAAUACCGCAUAAUAUUGAUUAUUGCAUGAUAAUUGAUUGAAAGAUGCUAUUGCAUCACUACCAGAUGGACCUGCGUUGUAUUAGCUAGUAGGUGAGGUAACGGCUCACCUAGGCGACGAUACAUAGCCGACCUGAGAGGGUGAUCGGCCACACUGGGACUGGGACACGGCCCAGACUCCUACGGGAGGCAGCAGUAGGGAAUCUUCGGCAAUGGACGAAAGUCUGACCGAGCAACGCCGCGUGAGGGAAGAAGGUUUUCGGAUCGUAAAGCUCUGUUGUAAGAGAAGAACGGGUGUGAGAGUGGAAAGUUCACACUGUGACGGUAUCUGACCAGAAAGGGACGGCUAACUACGUG
rnacentral:rRNA from 1 species